AUUGAACGCUGGCGGCAUGCCUUACACAUGCAAGUCGAACGGCAGCACGGGUGCUUGCACCUGGUGGCGAGUGGCGAACGGGUGAGUAAUACAUCGGAACAUGUCCUGUAGUGGGGGAUAGCCCGGCGAAAGCCGGAUUAAUACCGCAUACGAUCCACGGAUGAAAGCGGGGGACCUUCGGGCCUCGCGCUAUAGGGUUGGCCGAUGGCUGAUUAGCUAGUUGGUGGGGUAAAGGCCUACCAAGGCGACGAUCAGUAGCUGGUCUGAGAGGACGACCAGCCACACUGGGACUGAGACACGGCCCAGACUCCUACGGGAGGCAGCAGUGGGGAAUUUUGGACAAUGGGCGAAAGCCUGAUCCAGCAAUGCCGCGUGUGUGAAGAGGGCCUUCGGGUUGUAAAGCACUUUUGUCCGGAAAGAAAUCCUUGGCUCUAAUACAGUCGGGGGAUGACGGUACCGGAAGAAUAAGCACCGGCUAACUACGUG
rnacentral:rRNA from 1 species